GUCAAAUAAAGAAUAACACAUUUCUGUAUACAGUAUACACAUAUAGCACUGCACAGGAAAACUGUCGAUGUUUGUCCAUAAAACCAGGGUCUAGUCUACUCACUGCAGUCCUUAGAAAACAAAUCAGAUUCCCUGCAACUAUUGGUGACAAGGAGAUAGCACGUGCUCCAGCAGUUGAACUUCUUGACUGAUGCCGUGGCCAUGGCUGCUAAGAUGGAGGGAGCAGCUGCGAACCAGAAGACUCCAGCCAAGGCAGCACUGGUCCACACCCAAUACUACUCUGUCAGAUGCAGACCCGAAGACAUUCAAGUAGAACUUUGAGAGCAAGCAUCCCAAGUCUCCAGUGGCCCCAGUACUGGUUGAUGUGCAGGCCUAAGGGACCACACACACUCAAAUGGACCUACAGCUGGGACACACGAUGACCACGAUUUAAAUACUGCAACUGAGAUGGAAUGACGUCAAAGGACACACGCUGAGACCCCGAGUAUGACUGGACAUGGGCCAGAUAUUUACGACUACGACCUGAAAGGGGUGCAGAAGCACACCAGCACACCAUUUUAUGUUUAUUCCAUGGCCAACCAUCUCUCUAGCUACCCCUUAUUCCACACUAUGCCUUUUAUGCUCCAUGGUCCCUCAACUUCGGACACUUUAUAACUAUCCAUCUUAUCUCCAUAAACCUACCCUACUUUCACCCAUUUUCCCUAUGCUGCUUCCUUCACCUGUUCUUCUCCGGAUUUCAUAACAUCUACUCAGUAACCCGUUUAAAAGUAUUGUGGUGUACUGUUCUUGCUCCCUUUUUUUGACAAAAUGGGUGUUGAUAUAGCUGCAUUUAGGCAUAGCUUCCUUGUUUUGAGUCUAAGUGUUUCUCAUUCUGCUGGAGUUGACCUUGUAUUUCAUAUAAAACCUACCUUACGCAUCCAUUUUCUAUUUGUAACUCUCCCACUGAAAUUACAAUAUGCUGUUUUGCAUUUUGUGUUAUUUGUUGCUGGAAGAAUCUGUGUGCUCUUGGACAGUAAUAAUAGUUUAUAUGGUGCUCUUCGAUGUUCCAGGUUUGUGGCAAUGAUGAAUAAAUAAUUUAAUGUUUACUUAU